GACGAACGCUGGCGGCGUGCUUAACACAUGCAAGUCGAACGGACAGGCCCUGCUCUUGUGGGUUGCUCGAGUGGCGAACGGGUGAGUAACACGUGAGUAUCCUGCCCUUGUCUUUGGGAUAACUUCAGGAAAAUGGGGCUCAUAUCGGAUAGGAGCUCUUGCUGCAUGGUGGGGGUUGGAAAGUUUCGGCGGUUGGGGCUGGACUCGCGGCUUAUCAGCUUGUUGGUGGGGUAGUGGUUUACCAAGGCUGUGACGGGUAGCCGGCCUGAGAGGGUGACCGGGCACCAGGGUCCUGAGGGACGCAGCAGUAUGGUAUGGUACGCAGCAGGGGAGAACAUGACGCAGUAGGCGGGAGCGUGAGAUAGCGGCGUCGCGUGCGUGAAAAUCGCUUUUGAGGUGUGAACCGCUGUGUCCGUAAAUAUGGCGGGAGUGACGGUAAUUGAUAAAGAAGCACCGGCUAACUACGUG
rnacentral:rRNA from 1 species